rnacentral:rRNA from 1 species
GAAACCCGGACUAAUACCACAUGAUGUCCCAACCUUUCAUGAGGAUGGGACCAAAGAGGGCCUCUGCUUGCAUGCUCUCGCCCAAGGAGGGGGUCGCUUCGUAUCAGCUUGUUGGUAGGGUAACGGCCUACCAAGGCUACGACGCGUAGUGGGUCUGAGAGGACGACCCGCCACAUUGGGAUUGAGAUACGGCCCAGACUCCUACGGGAGGCAGCAGUGGGGAAUAUUGCGCAAUGGCCGAAAGGCUGACGCAGCGACGCCGCGUGUGGGAGUAAGCCCUUCGGGGUGUAAACCACUGUCAGAGGGGAAGAACUCCGUCAUUUCGAAUAGGGAUGGCGGCUGACGGUACCCUCAAAGGAAGCGCCGGCUAACUCCGUGCCAGCAGCCGCGGUAAGACGGAGGGCGCGAGCGUUGUUCGGAAUUACUGGGCGUAAAGCGCGGGCAGGCGGCCCGUUAAGUCUUCUGUGAAAACCCGGAGCUCAACUCCGUGGAAUGCAGGGGAAACUGGCGGGCUAGAGACCAGUAGAGGCUAGCGGAAUUCCUGGUGUAGCGGUGGAAUGCGUAGAUAUCAGGAAGAACACCUGUGGCGAAGGCGGCUAGCUGGGCUGGAUCUGACGCUCAUCCGCG